GGAUCCAGUGUGGAACCACCCUCAUAUAAGGGCUAGCCACUGAAGUGAGAGCACCUCAUGGACCUAGGCUGUUUGCUGAGAAGUGCUGCGUAGCUGGAGAGCCCCUUUGCCAGUUGGGUGCUGUUACUUCUGUUAAAAGGAAUAAUGAAGUCUAAUACCUGUCCAGAUUCAAAUGCAGCCAUUCCCCUUUCCUCAAGAACUGAACCAUGAUGUGAAUUCUUUUUUGGAUGGGGGCAGCUUCCUGCAGCCAGCUGGGAUUUUAUCAGGAGCAUCUGGAGGAAGCCUCCCCAAAAUCCAGAGAACACUGAAUGGCAGGGAAUGUGGAUGGACCUGGAAGAGACCUUAGGACACCCAGG